AUACAUCUCUCUCAGAGUGGGACAAAACCAAUGAAUGGCACUAGAUUUAUGGCAUCUUAUCAUCUCUUGAUGUAGCUGGGAUUUAAACCCCAGUGGGUUGAAGAAAGCCCCAAAUGCAAUUUAUUUAAGGCUAACACCACUUUUGUUACUUUGAAGACUGUGCGUAUAUAUGACCAAAGCACUUAUCAGGUUUUCUAUUCAGAACAUAUUGAGAGAUAAUCUACUGCAUAUAUUAGUUUAAGUCUUAUCCCAAAGAAAUAUAUUUCAGAAUCAAGUGUAAAAGUCCUUUGCAGCAAUUGUCAACUCCUAUAUGUGGGAACAUUAACUGUUGUGUUACACUGAAUGACAUUAAAUGCUAUGUUUGCAAUCUAUUUUAGGAUGCCCGUUAUUAGGCUUUUAGAUCUCUGAAGACUUGAGUGCAUGUAUAUUUAAAGGAGUAACAAAAAUUACAUUACUACAAGACACAAGUAACUGAAAAUGGAAUUCCUUGGACAGCACCUUUUAGUCUACACGAAACAUGUUACAAAACAGGAGCAAUGUGAGAUCCUCGGAAUUUAGAAUUUAAAUUACCCAUCAGAUUAACCAUCACACUGGAGGAAAAGACAACCACAGAAUCAAUAUUCUCUCUUACUGGAGAAAGAGCAUUAGGCUUCCACAUCCAUGUGAACCAUUUGGAUUAAAUGUGAAAAACAGCCGAGUCCUAAUUCAUAUCCACGUGAAGCUGUCAAAAUGUAGAGUUUCACAAAUAUUUGCAAUUCAACCACAGUUAGCACUUUGCCCAGAGCUGUGCUUAAAAACAGAGAUUUCUAAGUGAAUGUUCAUCAUCUGUAUCCUUUCCAAAUUUGGAUAUUUAUUUUAGAGGUAAAUGAUCUUGGUGAGCUUUGGGCCUUAUGUCACCUCGUGCCGAGAAACCCAGGCAGACUGAGUGACCUCAAACAACAGAAGCGAAAAUGAAAGAUUCACAGCAAGUUACCUUGUUUCAUCUUCUGGCUCAAGUGCUGAAGUUGACAAAUGUUUACAUGAUUUUUCUUGUAAACUGUACAUUAUUCUAAUAUGCAUUAGGUAUAUUUUUCUAAUAUAUAUUAGAAAUAUCUUUGGAGGAAGAUUUUUGGUAGUGGCUUUGUUCAUCAGGUAAGACCAUUGCCCAUUUCCAAGCAGGUGCCAGUAGGUUUCAUAAUAUAAUACCUUUACUUUCAAGGAAUAAAAAACUUCCACAGAAGAACUAUAUUAUAAGCAAACUUUCUUUGGCUGUUUUACUUACCAAAGAUUUUGCAAAGCAAUAUUGCAGUCUCUCUCCAUUAUAUAUUCUACUUCUAGAUCUCUACUACUGUUCGUUUUUCCUUGAAAGUCGUUGAAUUUUUAAAAAUGAUGUUUUGGGGAGGGCAGGGAGAUAGUUUUCAUUGGCAGAUUUUGUGAUAUAUUAAUGACGAUGACAAUGAUAUGUAAGUGGAUUCGUCACAAAGAAAAUCUGGGGGAGGAUGAAUUUAAUGGAUAGAAAUCAAUUAGAAACUAAGUAGCAGUCUUCUGCAAUAAUACAAAUAUAUGUAUUCUACUGGGGAUAAGGGGCUAAGGUGUUGGAGGAUAUUUGCAUGGAAUUUAACCGAUGAAUGAAUCCAGACGUAAUAUAAGGAAUAACAGAAUAUUCCUAUUGAAGGAAAAAGGGACUCAAGCAAGCUUUACAGUUAACUUUUAUACUCUAAUACGCCCUUUAUG